UUUUGUUUCAUACUUUGCUUUGUGAAGGAAUUGUUACUGUCCCAUAAGAAUCUCUAUGAUGUAUUGUUGUUCUAUGUGUCAUCAUGAUGCCCUCAUGUCCGUAUUAUGUUUUAUCGACACCUUCAUCCCUAAAGAUGUGGACAUGUUUUGGGUCUUGGUUUUCGCUUGAGGACAAGCGAGGUCUAAGCUUGGGGGAGUUGAUACGUCCAUUUUGCAUCAG
rnacentral:lncRNA from 1 species